AAAUAUGAAACAUGGCCACCUAGAUCAAAGGAAAGAAAUGACUGAUGCUACUUUAUCUGCCUUUAAAUUCUCCCUUUUUUUCUGGUGAGAAUGUUUGGAAUAUCUUAAGCCUCCGGAGCUAGACUGCCUGAAUUCCUCUCCUGACUCUGCCCCUACUCACUGUGAAACUUGGGUCCUAACCCUUGACCUCUGCCUCUUCCAUCACAAGGGAACUUCUAGAGCCAGAGGAAAGAGUAUUAUGGGUGCAUAUGUGGCUAGUGGCCACUGUUUUGGACAGCGAAUGUUUAGACCGCUGGAGAGGAAAGAGGAAGACCACCCAGAAUGGGAGGAAAUCAACUUGCAUGCUCAAGUGGAGCAAAGCACUGGGUAAAUGUGCACACGUUGCAGGGCUCUGCUGCUCGCCGGUGGAGCCCCGAGGAGGAGAAUGAAGAUGAGCUUGCCUUCUCGAGCCACCCUAAAGCUGGGAUGGAGCCUUGCAUCGAGUUUCAUGAAGGGAAUGAUGGAGGGAAAGUACGAAGCUCAGGAAAACAGAGCAAAGUUAAGCACGUCCUCAAUCCAUGGCCCCCAAUCCUCACCAUUCUGGGCAAGGCCUUUUCUCCUUUUUUUAACUUUGUUUUAUACAUUUCCUCUUCAUCCCUGGCUCCUCCUUGCCCCAGCCCCAAUACUAAUAUGUGCUUGGACAUGUGUGUAUAUCAAUACACUUGAAAUUUUAUGAUGUUAUAUUGUCUUUGUAUGCAUUUUAAAUAUGUAUGUAUAUAUAUGUGUGUGUGUGUAUAAAAGUAGACUGUGGA
rnacentral:lncRNA from 1 species